UCCGUGCUCUUGUCUAAAUUAUAUAUCUGUAUUGAAAAAUUUAUUAGAAUAUUUACUUUGUAACCUAAUUCAUCGAUUCAGUUAUUAUUAUUUAUUAACUUCACAUUGUUUAGCAACCCAUAAACUAAAAAUUGUGUAUGCGCGGACGAUCAUUUUUGAGUUUUUGAAGAUUCAUCACUUGGGUUAAGAGGGUUCUCCAUCUCAUCCAAAGAUGGCGGGUAUUAUUUCCCCAAUCCAAAAUUAUAAGGGGUUAACUGGAAUUUACUUUCUAAGUUUCCUCAAUCUCAAAUCUUCCAUGUAACCGGUGGGUAACUCCCAAAAAAGGAAAAAUUUACCGUGGAAGAAAUCGGCGAUCAAUUUCCGAUUAAUCCUUCUCAGGUUAAAUUUCGUCGAUGAAACGGCAAUGGGUGAUACUGGUAUUUUCCGGUUUUACGGGUUCGGCGAGUGAUUUAUUGAGCUCGCCGAGUAGUUCAUUUGGGAGAAUUACCGACUAGGUUAAUGUAGCUCCGGCGAGGAGGUCUCUCUUAUCAAAUUCAAGAUAAGUUUGUAGAUCUUUUCUUGGCGGUGAAUGACUGCAAUGUGAAAGAUGCUCCGGCUUUCCUCAUCAACCUUCCAAAUGAGAUCUGGAUAAGACUGAAUAAGCUCAACUAUGAACUUAAAAUUUCCCAACUCUGCUGCUACAAACAAUGGCCGCGACGGACUUCUAAAUUCCAAGUUCAAUUUUGUCAGAAAAUGCCAAGGGCUUUCGUGCUAAAACAUGAAGUAUUGUGUCUCCAUUUUGAUCUCGUUCAAUGCCUAAUUCAGGCAUGUGCUGAAGUAUAUGUAAAGCAACAUCUGUUCACAGCGAUUGCCAGUUCCAGUGGACUCAUAAGUUUAACCAGUUCUUCAACAAACUGAACCUUGUUAGCCCCGGCUGCAAUAUGAAGAGCAGUCUCCCA